rnacentral:rRNA from 1 species
AUACCAGACUCCUACGGGAGGCAGCAGUGGGGAAUAUUGCACAAUGGGCGAAAGCCUGAUGCAGCAACGCCGCGUGAAGGAAGAAGGCCUUCGGGUCGUAAACUUCUGUCCUUGGGGAAAAAGAACUGACGGUACCCAAGGAGGAAGCCCCGGCUAACUACGUGCCAGCAGCCGCGGUAAUACGUAGGGGGCGAGCGUUAUCCGGAAUUACUGGGUGUAAAGGGAGCGUAGACGGCGAGGUAAGCCUGAAGUGGAAGCCCGCGGCCCAACCGCGGAACUGCUUUGGGAACUGUUUUGCUGGAGUAUGGGAGGGGUAAGCGGAAUUCCUGGUGUAGCGGUGAAAUGCGUAGAUAUCAGGAGGAACACCGGUGGCGAAGGCGGCUUACUGGACGGCAACUGACGCUGAGGCUCGAAAGCGUGGGGAGCAAACAGGAUUAGAUACCCGGGUACU